rnacentral:lncRNA from 1 species
GGGACAAAGUCCCUGCCUGGUAAAAGAUCUGGCUGGUUCUUUCAGGGGAACGUAACAUCUGCAUGACUCAUGCGUGCAAACCACCCACACGCUAGGAAUCUGAAGUGGUUGCUCCUAGAAACAGAAAUAAACGACCAUCCAGUGAUGAAGAGUUUUCCCCAGCAAAGAGACAACUCCAGGGAAGAGCUUUCCAGUGUGAGUACAGAGAUUGUGGUUUAAGG